AAAGAAAAGAAAAACCCUGAGAAAACCCAACCGAAGAACCAUGCCGAGCAGCGCCAGCUAUAGCAUAUUGACAUUUACAUUGCAAUUCUCCCCAUCUCUCAGAUUCUUACUCAAAACCCAUAUAAAGUAUCGACCCAGAAGCCUCAAUAGCUUAAUCAUGAGCUCUGCUUCUCGUUCUUCUCCAAGACAAGCCGAAUCAAAUGGUACUCGUUGCGGUGGCGCCAUCACGUUGGAGGAGUGGCAAGGAUGGGGUUGCGUAUCUCCAGUACCAGUAAUGGUAAACUCCGUCAUUAAGGAUUUGAAGCUUUUGGAGAAUAAUAUUGAUGCCCAAAUGGUUUUUGGCGGUAAUGGUGGCAAAUUACAGGGGGAUUUUAAAGUCCAAGAGGAUAAGAAGCAUAGAGCUAAAUAUGAGACUUUGGGUGACUCAGACAAGAAGUUCCAGUUCUUUUCUGCUCGACAAAUAGCAUGCCGGUUGCUUGGAAGUCGGGGCUACCUAUGCCAGAAGUGUUGGCUUCCUAUGGAAGAUUGUAUGUGUUCAAAAGUCAAGCCUUGCUCGCUAUGGCAUGGUAUAAGGUUUUGGUUGUAUAUGCAUCCGAAGGAUUUUCUACGGCAGAACAACACUGGGAAGUUGUUAUGGCAAGUAUUUGGUGUUCAAUCUGCAACUCUGUGUCUUUAUGGAAUUUCUGAAGAUGAGGAACUCAUGUGGAAUGCAUUUAAGGAUGCAGGAAAAGACAAGGUUUGGUGCCUUUAUCCAAAUCAAAACACAAUACCAAAGACAGUUCAGGAUGCCUUUAACCAUCAAUCUUCAGCAGAUAUGAAAUGUGCAUAUUCUUCGACAAAUAGAGAUAGGCCUCUGAAUUUUGUUCUGAUUGAUGGUACAUGGAGCAAUUCUGCAGCAAUGUUCAGGCGUCUAAAGGAGCAAGCAAAGUUGGUCUUGGGAGAGGAAGACCUCCCUUGCAUUUCCCUUGCCACAGGUGCAUCUGCGAUGCAUAAACUUCGACCUCAACCAUCAUGGGACCGUACUUGUACUGCGGCGGCAGCUAUUGGUGUUCUUUCUGAGCUGCAGCUUCUUCCAGAGUGUAGCAUCCAUGGAUUGGAUAAACAGGCUGAUGCAGUCGAAGAUGCUUUAGUUGUUUUGCUAGAAGCACUGACGACUCGACGCCUUAGGAUGGGCAGGUCCAUCACUCGUAAAGUAAGACACUCUAGGGACAUUUGUUGACAUCCGAUAAAUUUAACGAGAUACAUGCCGGCAAUCAGAAACAAAAUUUCGCUACUUACGUAGGUUUAUAUGAUUUGAUUCAAUCGCAUCGAUAACUACUGAUAAGAUAAUAGGGAAGAGUCAAGUUGACAAGCUGUGCCAUAUUUGACUGCUAAGUUCUUCAGAGUUUGUGUCAGCUACUUAUUUUGAUUUAUAGAAGGGUCUUGUUU